rnacentral:SRP_RNA from 1 species
GCCAGGUGUGGUGGCGGGCACCUGUAAUCCCACCUACUUGGGAGGCUGAGGCAGAAGAAUCACUUGAACCCAGGAGGUAGAGGUUGCAGUGAGCCGAGAUCAUGCCACUGCACUCCAGCCUGGGCAAUAAAGUGACACUCUGUCUCAA